AAAGUCGUAACAAGGUUUCCGUAGGUGAACCUGCGGAAGGAUCAUUAUCACGUAUCCACGUAUAAACCAUCGCGAACUGUUUUUUUUUCACCUUUGCGGGGAUAGGAGGAGCGGCUAGUUUUUUUCUCUCUCUCCGGAGAGUGGCUUGCUGUCGAUUCCUGUUUACUCGCAAAGCGUAUAACACCAUAUUAACCACUAUAACAAAUCUUUAUAACUUUAUGAACUAAACUUUAUUUUAUACUCUUUCGGAGAUAAAAUUCAUUACGAAACAAAGAACAACUCUUAGCAACGGAUAUCUUGGUUCUC
rnacentral:misc_RNA from 1 species